CUGAGACAAGGACUUCAGUGCAGAUAGUAUGUGUAGAAGAUGAUCUCAGAAAGCAAAACCGGGGAAUGGGAAGAAUGAAAUGGGGACAGAAGAGAAGCCAACAAAUGAUCCACAGUCCACCACCUUCUCGGUGCCUCAGAAGUCUGACCUGUACCGAACAUGCUGGGGCCAGAGUCAAAGGCUGUGGAUGAGCCACCAAGGAAGCGUCAGGGAAUCUCAGAGGUGUCUUUGUACUUGAUUGCACUAAGUUAACAGAGAGAACUCAGUUAUACCACGCUGUAAGGAAGCCACGCAGCCACGUGGAGAUGCCACAUAUAAGUGUCCUGGCUGAGGUCAGCUGACAACCAACAUCAAUCCAGACAUGUGAGUGAGAGAGCCUUCAACUCCUAGCUGCCGUGUCACCCUCACACUCAAAGGAUCCAGCCACCUUUACUGUGCCCUUUCUGAAUUCCUGACCCUCAGCAUCCUUGAGCAGAAUAAAAUGGUUAU